rfam:Ictidomys tridecemlineatus contig062678, whole genome shotgun sequence.
GUGGUUGUGGCUCAGUGGUAGAGCACUUGCAUAGCAUGUGUGAGGCACUGGGUUCAAUCCUCAGCACCACA